UAUUUGAUGAGCUAUUACAGCUGUUUGCGCUCAUCCUCUCACCUUUCUUUCUAAAUAGUAGGCCUACUCCGCCACUGGCAUUCAAAAAUAGUUCUAUAUGUGUAGCAUUGUAUCAUACAUGAAAACUGCAGUGUGUCGUAUUACUUCCAAACUGUGAAUAUUAUAUUGAGACAGAUCAUAGCAACUCAGAUUGUUACAAUAUCGACAAAGAACUUGACAGCGUUGUAUACAUUGUACGUGCAUGCACUAUCAACUAUCCUAAAAGAUAAUUAAAUGAAGCACUAUAUUCUUAAAGCAAUCUGAGAGAAGUAUACACAAGUACGAACGUGGUCAUGCUCUCAUAAUGUACUCACCAAGUAAGCACAGAUGGCGUAUUCACCUUAAAUCAUACAGUUUAGCUUCUUCUAAUUCAUCAUGGCAGCAAACUUACUCUCUAAUAUAACGAAACAUAUAUUAAAAUAUUUAACAUAUAUUGUAUGACCAAAUUCUAUAUUUUGUUAAGCAGACUAAAAAUAUAUAUAGCAAUAAUGUAAAAUAGGUCAAAAAAUCUAAUACAUUUUGAUGAGUCAGGGUGGACCAACAAGAAAUAUUGGACAUUUAUACUGGAAGAUAUCAUUAACUAACACGACCACACCCCAAUGAAAAUUGUAUUGCUGGCGAUUUCAAAACUAUUAUGUGGAGAAAGCAAGUCAAAAUAAAUAUCUGAGGGGAAAAAACGAAAAGCCUAACAAGUGCAUAAAUGAUUAUAGAGUAUGUUUGUUCAUGUCACUGCGCAUGAGAGCUAUAAUAAUGUAGCGUAUUGAAGUUGUAAUCAGUUUACUAAGAUUCAAUAUCUAAUUACCGUUGAUUAUCUUGACGACAUGAAAUAUUUGAUGGACAGACAAGCAGAAAUCUGAAAGCAAUCCAGCAGAUACAUGUAAUAUCGCCAAACCAACAUUUCAAGGAGGAUUUUAAUCGCAUGUACCGUAACUGCUUGAUGAAUGUUGAUGUGGAUAUGAUUUCUGUUCUAGCCACGCGUUUAUUGCAAUAAACAAUUACAGACAGCCACACAGCAUAUGUUGCUGUAAGCCGAAAGUAUUCAGGAUACAUAAUUUAAAUGCAGAACUUUUUUCGAAGAAAUAUUUUGAUUUGUUUCCGUGUUAACAACUUUAAUAGGAGCAGAAUUGUCAGAUUAUAAGAUCGAAAAAAAUCACAAAAACGUGUUUGAAGUAACCAGUGUAACUCGUAAAGAACUAAGGACUUAAGCGUAGAUUUGUUACCGUACAUUGUUGCUUGGUGUGCUGUAGUGCAUCCUUAAACGUCUGAAGUAGCUGUUAUUACAUUUCAUAUUCAUUCAUGUUUGAAAGAAGUUCUUAAGAAUUAACAACAGAAGAAAAGUUUCAAACAUUAUUGCCAUUGGAUAAACUCGUAUGUUAACAGUGUGACAAAUUUCAUCUUUCUUCCAAUACUGUUUCGUUGGUGUAACGGAAUUUAAUUCUUUAAACACAUAAUAUUUGUACGAUUGUUAAAAGUUGUGACGCGUUGAGGAACAGCUGUCGCUUAAUUUUAGUUGCCAGCCCUGGUGAGCUCCAUACCGUUUUGGAUAUUAUUGGGUGAUGUCGCUUUACAUCCCAGCUGUAAUAUCACACAACGUCCUUGAUUAUCCUAGUUUGGAAAAUGUGUGUUUAUAGUGCCAGAAAUCUACGAUGGUUUACCGUGCUCACAUUGUUGUUCUUGGUGUUCCUG
rnacentral:lncRNA from 1 species